AUUGAACGCUGGCGGCAGGCCUAACACAUGCAAGUCGAGCGGACGAAGGAAGCUCUCUCCUGGAUUCAGCUGCGGACGGGCGAGUAAUGCCUAGGAAUCUGCCCGGCAGUUGGGGAUAACGUAAGGAAACGGGCGCGAAUAUCGCAUACGUCCAUAUGUAGAAAGGGGGGGAUCAUCGGACCAAACGCGAUUAGAUGAGCCUAGGACGGAUUAGCUAGUUGGUUAGGUAAAGGCCUACCAAGGCGACGAUCCGUAACUGGUCUGAGAGGAUGAUCAGUCACACUGGAACUGAGACACGGUCCAGACUCCUACGGGAGGCAGCAGUGGGGAAUAUUGCGCAAUGGGCGAAAGCCUGACGCAGCCAUGCCGCGUGUGUGAAGAAGGUCUUCGGAUCGUAAAGCUCUUUAAGUUGGGAAGAAGAACUGUGUAUUAAUCCAUGGCUGUUUUGACGUUACCAACAGAGAAAGCCCCGGCUAACUACGUG
rnacentral:rRNA from 1 species